AAAGUCGUAACAAGGUUUCCGUAGGUGAACCUGCGGAAGGAUCAUUACCUAAAAUACGGUUAAGACAGCGCCGGACGUCUCCGGACCAUGGUGCUCCUGUAUUCACCCUUGUCUUUUGCGCACUCAAGUUUCCUCGGUGGGCUUGCCCGCCGAUUGGACACACUUAUAACCUUUUUAAUUUUCAAUCAGCGUCUGAAAUUAUUUUAAUAAUUACAACUUUCAACAACGGAUCUCUUGGUUCUG
rnacentral:misc_RNA from 1 species